rnacentral:lncRNA from 1 species
GGUGUGUGCAUGUGUGUGCGCGCGCGUGUGUGCGGGGUGUGCCGUGAGCGUGUGCCCGCGGUUCGGGGGAUGAGUAGGGGCGCUGACUUUUAGGACCAGCCAUUUGAGUCAAGCUGGAGACGACGUCUUAGAACCUAGGAUGAGUCUCGUUUGGUUUUAGUCUGCAAAGCUCGUCUGCAUCAGACAGGAAUUUUCCCCAGACGCGGGUGCACGUGAAUUAAUUCAUCAGAAGGCGGUUCACGGCCUGAGUGAGGGGGACGAGGGCGGCGAAUUCCUCCGCCUCAUUCCUACCCUGACGAUUCGAGCCUGUUAAUAUGAUGAAUUACACUGAUUCAGUUUCAAAUGUCCAACCAAGCUUGCACUCCAGAGAUGAAGCCCACUUGAUCACAUGGAUUAUUCUUUUAAUAUAUGAUGGAUACGACUUGGCUGUUCUUUUGUUGAGGAUUUUUGUGUUUAUGUUAAUGAGGAUAUUAUUUGUAGUUUUCUUUUCUUGUAAUGUUUUUGUCUUUGUUCAGUGUCAGAGUAAUGCCAACUUCAUAAAGUGAG